CGGAUUUAUUGGGCGUAAAGAGCUCGUAGGCGGUUUGUCGCGUCUGCUGUGAAAUCCCGAGGCUCAACCUCGGGCCUGCAGUGGGUACGGGCAGACUGGAGUGCGGUAGGGGAGAAUGGAAUUCCUGGUGUAGCGGUGGAAUGCGCAGAUAUCAGGAGGAACACCGAUGGCGAAGGCAGUUCUCUGGGCCGUAACUGACGCUGAGGAGCGAAAGCGUGGGGAGCGAACAGG
rnacentral:rRNA from 1 species